rnacentral:rRNA from 1 species
GACGAACGCUGGCGGCGUGCUUAACACAUGCAAGUCGAGCGGAAAGGCCACUUCGGUGGUACUCGAGCGGCGAACGGGUGAGUAACACGUGAGUAAUCUGCCCCUGGCUUCGGGAUAGCCACCGGAAACGGUGAUUAAUACCGGAUAUGACAGACCCUCGCAUGGGGGUGUGUGGAAAGUUUUUCGGCCAGGGAUGUGCUCGCGGCCUAUCAGCUUGAUGGUGAGGUAAUGGCUCACCAUGGCUUCGACGGGUAGCCGGCCUGAGAGGGUGACCGGCCACACUGGGACUGAGACACGGCCCAGACUCCUACGGGAGGCAGCAGUGGGGAAUAUUGGACAAUGGGCGGAAGCCUGAUCCAGCAACGCCGCGUGAGGGAUGACGGCCUUCGGGUUGUAAACCUCUUUCAGUACCGACGAAGCGCAAGUGACGGUAGGUACAGAAGAAGCACCGGCCAACUACGUGCCAGCAGCCGCGGUAAUACGUAGGGUGCGAGCGUUGUCCGGAAUUAUUGGGCGUAAAGGGCUCGUAGGCGGUUUGUCGCGUCGGGAGUGAAAACGCCGUGCUUAACACGGCGCUUGCUUCCGAUACGGGCAGACUAGAGGUAUUCAGGGGAGAACGGAAUUCCUGGUGUAGCGGUGAAAUGCGCAGAUAUCAGGAGGAACACCGGUGGCGAAGGCG